UAAAGAGCGUAAACCAAGAAAGCUUCAUCGA
rnacentral:piRNA from 1 species